GGUGUAGUUUAGUGGUAAAACCACAGCCUUCCAAGCUGUUGUCGCGAGUUCGAUU
rnacentral:tRNA from 1 species